UACGGAGGGUGCAAACGUUGCUCGGAAUCAUUGGGCGUAAAGCGCACGUAGGCGGUCCAGCAAGUCGGGUGUGAAAGCCCUCGGCUCAACCGGGGAAGUGCAUUCGAAACUGCUGAACUUGAGUAUGGAAGAGGGUCGCGGAAUUCCCGGUGUAGAGGUGAAAUUCGUAGAUAUUGGGAAGAACACCAGGUGGCGAAGGCGGCUCACUGGCC
rnacentral:rRNA from 1 species